GGAUUGUAGUCUGCAACCCGACUACAUGAAGCUGGAAUCGCUAGUAAUCGCGGAUCAGAAUGCCGCGGUGAAUACGUUCCCGGGUCUUGUACACACCGCCCGUCACACCAUGGGAGUCGGAAAUGCCCGAAGUCUGUGACCCAACCUUAGGGAGGGAGCAGCCGAAGGCAGGUCGGAUGACUGGGGUGAAGUCGUAACAAGGUAAC
rnacentral:rRNA from 1 species